rnacentral:rRNA from 1 species
AGCGAACGCUGGCGGCAGGCCUAACACAUGCAAGUCGAACGAGGUCUUCGGACCUAGUGUCGGACGGGUGAGUAACACGUGGGAACGUGCCCUUUGGUACGGAAUCACUCAGGGAAACUUGAGCUAAUACCGUAUGUGCCCUUCGGGGGAAAGAUUUAUCGCCAUUGGAGCGGCCCGCGUCUGAUUAGCUAGUUGGUGAGGUAACGGCUCACCAAGGCGACGAUCAGUAGCUGGUUUGAGAGGAUGACCAGCCACAUUGGUACUGAGACACGGCCCAAACUCCUACGGGAGGCAGCAGUGGGGAAUCUUGCGCAAUGGGCGAAAGCCUGACGCAGCCAUGCCGCGUGGAUGAUGAAGGUCUUAGGAUUGUAAAAUCCUUUCACCGGUGAAGAUAAUGACUGUAGCCGGAGAAGAAGCCCCGGCUAACUUCGUGCCAGCCGCCGCCGUAAGAC